rnacentral:lncRNA from 1 species
AAGGGAUCUAUCAAUGUCAAUAGAUGAAGAGUAGUCCUAUGUAGAUUAUGAAACUGAGUCCUAAAGUCUAUGACCAUGACAGUGUGAAUGAUGGAAAGGUAUUUCUAUAAGAUUUCACAAUGGACUCAAGUCGAUUGAUUCUAGCAUAUGAUAAGAAUCAGGUUUGAUGAGUUAUCCUUAACCUCUAUCUUGUCCGGACUCAUGAUUGAAGAACCAAAUUACAUGAUAACUGUACCUAAAGGUUCGUUAUUCAGUUCUGC